rnacentral:rRNA from 1 species
AUUGAACGCUGGCGGCAGGCCUAACACAUGCAAGUCGAACGGUAACAGGAAGACGCUUGCUUCUUUGCUGACGAGUGGCGGACGGGUGAGGAAUGUCUGGGAAACUGCCUGAUGGAGGGGGAUAACUACUGGAAACGGUAGCUAAUACCGCAUAACGUCGCAUGACCAAAGAGGGGGACCUUCGGGCCUCUUGCCAUCGGAUGUGCCCAGAUGGGUUUAGCUAGUAGGUGGGGGAACGUCUCACCUAGGCGACGAUCCCUAGCUGGCCGGAGAGGAUGACCAGCCACACUGGAACUGAGCCCCGGUCCAGACUCCUACGGGAGGCAGCAGUGGGGAAUUUUGCACAAUGGGCGCAAGCCUGAUGCAGCCAUGCCGCGUGUAUGAAGAAGGCCUUCGGGUUGUAAAGUACUUUCAGCGGGGAGGAAGGGAGUAAAGUUAAUACCUUUGCUCAUUGACGUUACCCUCAGAAGAAGCACCGGCUAACUCCGUG